AUUAAAAAAGGUUAAAAAAGAAAAAGAAAAUAUAGCCUCAUUUCCUCUUUUUAGCCGGUGGCUGAGCAGGCUCUUCUUCGUCUUCCUCUUCUUCUUCUUCUUCCUCCUCUUCCUCAUCUUCUUCCCCAUCUUCAUCUUCAUCUUCAUCGUCAUCCUCCUCAUCCUCCUCCUCUCCACUAGCACCACCACCUCCAUUGGCCAGGUCAUCCUCAGGGUCAUCUUCACCAUCCUCGUCUUCUGACCCAUCUUCCUCGUCCCCUCCAUCUUCAUUGGGAUCAUCUGCAGCAUCUUCACCUUCGUCAUCUUCGUCAUCCUCGGUAUCACUG
rnacentral:lncRNA from 1 species